rnacentral:misc_RNA from 1 species
UUGAGCCAGCAAGAGAAACGGAAAGAUCCUCGGAGAGUGAAUUGGGGUUGCUCAAAUCAGAUAGUGAAAGUCUCUGGAAUGAAGUUUGUUUAGUGACCUCUUUCUUGGGUUUGGAUGAUGCUGGUUUCUCAUUCUCAUGUGGUUUGAAACAACUGGAAACCAUAGAUAACCACGUAACCUUCUCCACAGUCAUUGUUGUUGAUGAAUGAUUCUGCAAACUUGAAUAUUAAUUGGUUUCUUGCAACAAAAACUAAAAAAUCAAUUUAUUAAUGAGAAAGAGAGAGAAGAGAGAGAGAGAGGAGUGAUGGGUUUAGAAG